AGAGUUUGAUUCUGGCUCAGAAUGAACGCUGGCGGCGUGCCUAAGACAUGCAAGUCGAACGAGAAAGUUUUCUUCGGAAAACAAGUACAGUGGCGCACGGGUGAGUAAGGCUUAGGUAAUCUGCCCUUUCGCUGGGGACAACAGGGGGAAACUCCUGCUAAUACCGAAUGACCUGUAAUUUUCUGCGGAAUUUUACAGGAAAGGCGCAAGCCGCGAAAGGAGGAGCCUGAGUACCAUUAGCUUGUUGGUGGGGUAAAAGCCUACCAAGGCUACGAUGGUUAGCUGGUCUGAGAGGAUGAUCAGCCACACUGGUACUGGAACACGGACCAGACUCCUACGGGAGGCAGCAGUUAGGAAUUUUGCGCAAUGGGGGAAACCCUGACGCAGCAACGCCGCGUGAGCGAGGAAGGCCUUAGGGUUGUAAAGCUCUUUCAGUAGAGAAGAUAAUGACGGUAUCUACAGAAGAAGCACCGGCUAACUCCGUGCCAGCAGCCGCGGUAAUACGGAGGGUGCAAGCGUUAUUCGGAAUUACUGGGCGUAAAGCGCGCGUAGGCGGUUUAAUAAGUCUGAUGUGAAAUCCCUGGACUCAAUCCAGGACGUGCAUUGGAUACUGUUAGACUAGAGUACAGGAGGGGUGAGCGGAAUUCCAGGUGUAGAGGUGAAAUUCGUAGAUAUCUGGAGGAACAACGGUGGCGAAGGCGGCUCACUGGACUGUAACUGACGCUGAGGUGCGAAAGUGUGGGGAGCGAACAGGAUUAGAUACCCUGGUAGUCCACACCGUAAACGAUGAAUACUAGGUGUCGGGAGCUCUUGCUCUCUCGGUGCCGAAGCUAACGCAUUAGGUAUUCCGCCUGGGGAGUACGGCCGCAAGGCUAAAACUCAAAGAAAUUGACGGGGGCCCGCACAAGCGGUGGAGGAUGUGGUUUAAUUCGAUUCAACGCGAAGAACCUUACCUGGGUUUGACAUCCCGUGCUACCUCUGGAAACAGAGGGUUCUCUUCGGAGACGCGGUGACAGGUGCUGCAUGGCUGUCGUCAGCUCGUGUCGUGAGAUGUUGGGUUAAGUCCCGCAACGAGCGCAACCCCUGCCAUUAGUUGCCAGCAUUUAGUUGGGCACUCUAAUGGGACCGCUUGCCGAUAAGGCAGAGGAAGGUGGGGAUGACGUCAAGUCCGCAUGGCCCUUACACCCAGGGCUACACACGUCCUACAAUGGCCAGUACAAUGCGUUUGCUAUACCGCGAGGUGGCGCUAAUCGCAAAAAACUGGUCUCAGUUCGGAUUGAAGUCUGCAACUCGACUUCAUGAAGUUGGAAUCGCUAGUAAUCGUGGAUCAGCAUGCCACGGUGAAUACGUUCCCGGGCCUUGUACACACCGCCCGUCACGCCACGGAAGUUGGGGCUGCCUGAAAAGGCUGAGCUAACCCUUCGGGGAGGCAGGUCUUAAUGGUGGAACCGAUAACUGGGGUGAAGUCGUAACAAGGUA
rnacentral:rRNA from 1 species